ensembl:ncRNA C09D8.14 ncRNA
CGAUUGGAUGGCGGAGAGGUAGUGAGUGCGCGGGGUGUACAGGUAGGUAGGGGUGGGUCGAUAGAGACACAGUCACCUUGCGCAAUCUAUUACGCUCACCCUCCAUCGGUCACUGUCUCUCCUGCAUUGUUUCUUUCUAAUGAGAAAAAGGAAUGAAUGGUGUUCGGCACCAUGUUUCUUUCUUCUACAAGACAAAGAA